rnacentral:rRNA from 1 species
AGUGAACGCUGGCGGUAGGCCUAACACAUGCAAGUCGAACGGCAGCACAGUAAGAGCUUGCUCUUACGGGUGGCGAGUGGCGGACGGGUGAGGAAUACAUCGGAAUCUACUUUUUCGUGGGGGAUAACGUAGGGAAACUUACUCUAAUACCGCAUACGACCUACGGUUGAAAGCAGGGGAUCUUCGUACCUUGCGCGAUUGAAUGCGCCGAUGUCGGAUUAGCUAGUUGGCGGGGUAAAGGCCCACCAAGGCGACGAUCCGUAGCUGGUCUGAGAGGAUGAUCAGCCACACUGGAACUGAGACACGGUCCAGACUCCUACGGGAGGCAGCAGUGGGGAAUAGUAGACAAUGGGCGCAAGCCUGAUCCAGCCAUACCGCGUGGGUGAAGAAGGCCUUCGGGUUGUAAAGCCCUUUUGUUGGGAAAGAAAAGCAGCAGGUUAAUACCCCGCUGUUCUGACGGUACCCAAAGAAUAAGCACCGGCUAACUUCGUG